GGGUUGUGAGGUUAAGCGACUAAGCGUACACGGUGGAUGCCCUGGCAGUCAGAGGCGAUGAAGGACGUGCUAAUCUGCGAUAAGCGUCGGUAAGGUGAUAUGAACCGUUAUAACCGGCGAUUUCCGAAUGGGGAAACCCAGUGUGUUUCGACACACUAUCAUUAACUGAAUCCAUAGGUUAAUGAGGCGAACCGGGGGAACUGAAACAUCUAAGUACCCCGAGGAAAAGAAAUCAACCGAGAUUCCCCCAGUAGCGGCGAGCGAACGGGGAGCAGCCCAGAGCCUGAAUCAGUGUGUGUGUUAGUGGAAGCGUCUGGAAAGGCGCGCGAUACAGGGUGACAGCCCCGUACACAAAAAUGCACAUGCUGUGAGCUCGAUGAGUAGGGCGGGACACGUGGUAUCCUGUCUGAAUAUGGGGGGACCAUCCUCCAAGGCUAAAUACUCCUGACUGACCGAUAGUGAACCAGUACCGUGAGGGAAAGGCGAAAAGAACCCCGGCGAGGGGAGUGAAAAAGAACCUGAAACCGUGUACGUACAAGCAGUGGGAGCACGCUUCGGCGUGUGACUGCGUACCUUUUGUAUAAUGGGUCAGCGACUUAUAUUCUGUAGCAAGGUUAACCGAAUAGGGGAGCCGAAGGGAAACCGAGUCUUAACUGGGCGUUAAGUUGCAGGGUAUAGACCCGAAACCCGGUGAUCUAGCCAUGGGCAGGUUGAAGGUUGGGUAACACUAACUGGAGGACCGAACCGACUAAUGUUGAAAAAUUAGCGGAUGACUUGUGGCUGGGGGUGAAAGGCCAAUCAAACCGGGAGAUAGCUGGUUCUCCCCGAAAGCUAUUUAGGUAGCGCCUCGUGAAUUCAUCUCCGGGGGUAGAGCACUGUUUCGGCAAGGGGGUCAUCCCGACUUACCAACCCGAUGCAAACUGCGAAUACCGGAGAAUGUUAUCACGGGAGACACACGGCGGGUGCUAACGUCCGUCGUGAAGAGGGAAACAACCCAGACCGCCAGCUAAGGUCCCAAAGUCAUGGUUAAGUGGGAAACGAUGUGGGAAGGCCCAGACAGCCAGGAUGUUGGCUUAGAAGCAGCCAUCAUUUAAAGAAAGCGUAAUAGCUCACUGGUCGAGUCGGCCUGCGCGGAAGAUGUAACGGGGCUAAACCAUGCACCGAAGCUGCGGCAGCGACGCUUAUGCGUUGUUGGGUAGGGGAGCGUUCUGUAAGCCUGUGAAGGUGUGCUGUGAGGCAUGCUGGAGGUAUCAGAAGUGCGAAUGCUGACAUAAGUAACGAUAAAGCGGGUGAAAAGCCCGCUCGCCGGAAGACCAAGGGUUCCUGUCCAACGUUAAUCGGGGCAGGGUGAGUCGACCCCUAAGGCGAGGCCGAAAGGCGUAGUCGAUGGGAAACAGGUUAAUAUUCCUGUACUUGGUGUUACUGCGAAGGGGGGACGGAGAAGGCUAUGUUGGCCGGGCGACGGUUGUCCCGGUUUAAGCGUGUAGGCUGGUUUUCCAGGCAAAUCCGGAAAAUCAAGGCUGAGGCGUGAUGACGAGGCACUACGGUGCUGAAGCAACAAAUGCCCUGCUUCCAGGAAAAGCCUCUAAGCAUCAGGUAACAUCAAAUCGUACCCCAAACCGACACAGGUGGUCAGGUAGAGAAUACCAAGGCGCUUGAGAGAACUCGGGUGAAGGAACUAGGCAAAAUGGUGCCGUAACUUCGGGAGAAGGCACGCUGAUAUGUAGGUGAAGUCCCUCGCGGAUGGAGCUGAAAUCAGUCGAAGAUACCAGCUGGCUGCAACUGUUUAUUAAAAACACAGCACUGUGCAAACACGAAAGUGGACGUAUACGGUGUGACGCCUGCCCGGUGCCGGAAGGUUAAUUGAUGGGGUUAGCGCAAGCGAAGCUCUUGAUCGAAGCCCCGGUAAACGGCGGCCGUAACUAUAACGGUCCUAAGGUAGCGAAAUUCCUUGUCGGGUAAGUUCCGACCUGCACGAAUGGCGUAAUGAUGGCCAGGCUGUCUCCACCCGAGACUCAGUGAAAUUGAACUCGCUGUGAAGAUGCAGUGUACCCGCGGCAAGACGGAAAGACCCCGUGAACCUUUACUAUAGCUUGACACUGAACAUUGAGCCUUGAUGUGUAGGAUAGGUGGGAGGCUUAGAAGUGUGGACGCCAGUCUGCAUGGAGCCGACCUUGAAAUACCACCCUUUAAUGUUUGAUGUUCUAACGUUGACCCGUAAUCCGGGUUGCGGACAGUGUCUGGUGGGUAGUUUGACUGGGGCGGUCUCCUCCUAAAGAGUAACGGAGGAGCACGAAGGUUGGCUAAUCCUGGUCGGACAUCAGGAGGUUAGUGCAAUGGCAUAAGCCAGCUUGACUGCGAGCGUGACGGCGCGAGCAGGUGCGAAAGCAGGUCAUAGUGAUCCGGUGGUUCUGAAUGGAAGGGCCAUCGCUCAACGGAUAAAAGGUACUCCGGGGAUAACAGGCUGAUACCGCCCAAGAGUUCAUAUCGACGGCGGUGUUUGGCACCUCGAUGUCGGCUCAUCACAUCCUGGGGCUGAAGUAGGUCCCAAGGGUAUGGCUGUUCGCCAUUUAAAGUGGUACGCGAGCUGGGUUUAGAACGUCGUGAGACAGUUCGGUCCCUAUCUGCCGUGGGCGCUGGAGAACUGAGGGGGGCUGCUCCUAGUACGAGAGGACCGGAGUGGACGCAUCACUGGUGUUCGGGUUGUCAUGCCAAUGGCACUGCCCGGUAGCUAAAUGCGGAAGAGAUAAGUGCUGAAAGCAUCUAAGCACGAAACUUGCCCCGAGAUGAGUUCUCCCUGACUCCUUGAGAGUCCUGAAGGAACGUUGAAGACGACGACGUUGAUAGGCCGGGUGUGUAAGCGCAGCGAUGCGUUGAGCUAACCGGUACUAAUGAACCGUGAGGCUUAACCUUACAACGCCGAAGCUGUU
rnacentral:rRNA from 1 species